GAUGAACGCUGGCGGCGUGCCUAACACAUGCAAGUCGAACGGACAGACGAUGAGCUUGUGCCUUUCACGUUAGCGGCGGGCGGGUGAGUAACGCGUGGAUAACCUACUUAUCUGUCUGGGAUAAUUACGGAAAACCGGCGCUAAUACCAGAUAAUAUACUGAACCGCAUGGUUCAAUAGAGAAUGACGGCUUUGGUGGAAGUUAUCGAUGGAUCCGCGCCGGAUUAGCUAGUUGGUAAGGUAACGGCCUACCAAGGCAACGAGGCGUAGCCGACGUGAGAGGGUGAUCGGCGACACUGGAAGUGAGCCAGCGUCCAGACUCCUACGGGAGGCAGCAGUAUGGAAUCUUAGGCAAUGGGCGAAAGCCUGACGCAGCAACGCCGCGUGAGUGAUGAAGGUCUUCGGAUCGUAAAGCUCUGUUAUUGGGGAAGAACAGAUGUGGACGUAAACAUAGCCGUCUUGACGGUACCUAAUCAAAAAGCCCCGGCUAACUACGUG
rnacentral:rRNA from 1 species